ACCGAAUAAUCUGUCUCUUGUGUGGGUACAUUUGUCAUUUCAUAUUUUCUUUUCAUCAUUUGGCUAUUUAUUAUUAUUUUUUUUUUGUGUGUCAAAUAGCCAAAUGAUGAAAAGAAAAUAUGAAAUGACAAAUGUACCCACACAAGAGACAGAUUAUUCGGU
rnacentral:sRNA from 1 species